rnacentral:tRNA from 1 species
GGAGGGAUCGCAUAGUGGUCUAGUGCGCCCGCCUGCUAAGUGGGUGUAGGUCCGUAAGGGCCUACCGAGGGUUCGAAUCCCUCUCCCUCCGCCA